ACAGUGUUAAACAGUGCGAGAUCAGGUUUUAGAUUUAGAUUAUUUUUGGAAAAAAAUAUAAAUGCAAAAUAAAGAAAUCAACUAUGGAAAUGCACUACAACAAGUAAAAUGUUUGUUGUAUCUCCAACAGUCCAAGAAACUCAAGGACAGUCAAGAGGUAGAUGAAGAAUUGUAAGUGAAUCCUAUGGAUCUGGUCCGUGUGUCCUCUCCUCGCCCCAUCCUAAGAUCCUCAAGAAAAUCAUCACAAAAGGAAGUCUCAGAUGCUGCCUGUCUUCCUCUGUCCAGGUGUGAAUGUUCUUCGCUGUUCUCUUCUGAACAAAUCAUCAAUGUUCUCCUCAUUCUGAGAAUCAGGCACUAAUGUGAGUUUGUGUCAGACUUUGUGUUUCAAGGAGUUUUCUGGAGGAUUUUCAGAAAAAAAUGUGCAUCAGUUUCCAACCGAAGGCCAAUCUCAAGAAGACCAGACCCACAAAACCAUUUUCUCCCUAUGUCCUUUAUCUGUUUUUCUCAUUUAAUGGAAACAUUUUCUUCAACAUUUCAGCAAAUCAGCCCAAAUGCUUCCCAAAGAUCUUCCGGGAUGCUCUGGAGUCAGAUAUUACACAAGAUGUUUCAAAGCAUGAGUAUAGGUUAUGAUACAUAGGGCAACUUUUUGAGCAAUUUUGCCGAGCGAUGUUGCUUGGACGCUUUCCCUUUGAGAAUGGGCAAUGCUGGAUACUUUAGAUCAAAAUUUGUUGCCCGUUCUCAGUGGGAAAGUGCCCAAUCUGCCCUGUGUAUCAUCACUGUGUUAGACAAAUAUGAUGAAACCUGGCAGAUGAUGAUAAUAGCAUGUCUAGAGACAGAGUUCAACAUGAACCUAAGGACGUGAAGAUACAUCUCUCUGAUGGAGCCUGGAGUCGUUUGACUGGAUUCACUGCCCUAUCCUCGGAGAACAUUCUGUUCAACAUUUGCUAAACGGCUUUUCUGACCUCUGCUCAAAGGAGGACAGGGAGUAUGAUGUUUGGAUGCUCAGUAGAGCUUGAGGAACAUCUCCUGUUUAGAUUUACAGCAUUUGAGUUCUUAAAAUCAAACUCUGUCACAGACUGAAAAGCCUGGAGUUCUGGAGUCUAACUGGAUGUCACUUGUCAAUAUCUGGUUAAACUUCACACCAGAACCACAACAUCUGUGAUAUUUCACUUUUCUGUUUCAGUGUGACUGCAUAAGAUGGUCAUUAUGUAUGUUAAAAUGUAUGUUUGGUGCUUUUAAAUAAUGUAAGCUGGGUGUUUGGAAUGUGUCAUCAGUGCCUCUUGACAGAAUUAUUAUGAUUAUUUCCACAUUAAAUGUUUAUAUUUAGUUCAUGUAGCACAGUGUAAAAGACCAUCAGGUGACGCUGGUUCUUCUGUGUGAUUGGAUGGUUAUAAAUUAGUCUGUCAGAAUCUGCUCCUGUUUUUCUAAACAUUGCAGUAUUAAAGUCAACAUGAAAUCAUAAUAGGAUUUAUUUUGAGUGCAAAAAUAAAAUCCUUUUUUUCCCUCAAUAAAUUGUUUGUUUCAUUCAGAAAUAAGUCACGUUAUACUGACAGAUAGCACACUAAAUUAUACCAGAUGAAUAUUUGUCAAAUGCAGUUUGAAAUAUACUUUAUAUGUCCCACGUUAUACAAUUAAACAGAAUUGAGAAUUGAUAAAUGUCACUAAGUCCCAAACUUAGUGAAGGAAUCUCAAUAAAGAUGACAUGAUCAUAAAUGGUGUCAGAAAGAAAUGACCAUUUAUUUGCUGUUUUCAUAUCCAUAAGAUCUUGCAUGUUACUGUUAAAGAUGUGGAACUCAAAUAUAUCAUCUUAUGAAUAAAGUCUCUCUGAGCUCAUGGGAUCUUUUGGUGUGUUUCUUUUGAGUGAUUCUUAAAUUAAUAAAUCAGCUCAAAUGAGACUUACUUGAUGAGAAAUGAGCUGUAAGAUCUACAGCAGCAAACACCAACAAAACUGACGACUUUGACACGGGACAGAAAUAAACAAGCUUUAAGACUCAUCAAACUUCAUGAGUUUCAGAGCAGAUGAGAAGAACUUCAGUCAGGAGUUCACAAGACUUUGAGGAUGUUUGGUUGUUACAUAGACUAACUAGUUGACUGAACAAGAUCACAUGAUGCUUCUAGUCACCCGUGGUUGUUUUCUGUGUUUGCAAGGUUUUGUCUACAAAAAACACCCAUGAUAAAAGAAAGACCAGUGGUCUGAGUGUCAGUCCUUCAUGCGAAGACUCCUGGUUUGAAUCUCAUUCUUAAACAUUUUUACUUUGUUUUUGACUGAAUAAAUCAGACAAAACUCAAAACAAUGAGAAGUGCAUAAGUGCCAGGGGCACAGCGGUCUAAAUCUCAGACCUUGACGUGGGCGAUCCUGAUUCUAAUCUCUCUCUUGAUGAGGAAAAUUAGAUUUGUUUCACUGGUUUUUGAAUGAAUAGAAAAGACAAAACUCUUAAAAAAAAAGGAACAGGAAGUGUGAAAGCACCAGUGGUGCGGCGGCCUGAACAUCAGCCUUUGACGUAGGAAGUCCUGAUUCGAAUCCUUCUCCUGAAGUGGGAAAAUUGUUUAGUUUCACUGGUUUUUCAAUGGAAAAAUGGACAAAAAUCCCCCCCAAAAAAAGCAAAAAGUGGAAAUGGACCAGUGGUGCAGUGGUCUGAACAUCAGCCUUUGCGUAGAAAGUCCUGGUUCGAAUCCCUCUCCUGAAGUGGGAAAAUUGUUUAGUUUCACUGUUUUUCACUAGUUUCACGGUUUUUCAAUGGAAAAAUGGACAAAAAUCCCCCCCAAAAAAGUAACAAGGGGAAAUGGACCAGUGGUGCAGCGGUCUGAACAUCAGCCUUUGACGUGGGAAGUCCUGGUUCGAAUCCCUCUCCUGAAGUGGAAAAAUUGUUUAGUUUCACUGGU